UACCUCACUGUAUUUCUGGCAGAAGCGAAAGUUUCUUUUGACACACAUUGACAGGCAUCAGAAGGGCACACAGAAAACUAGAAAUGACAGCUGCUGGCUUGGAAAUCAUUAUAUAGCCAAGGAUGGACUUGAACAUGAGCAGUCCUGCCUCAGCCUUCUGAAUGAUGACGGGAUUACAGGCACGAGCUACCAUGGCUUCCUCCUCUGGUCUUCUUACUACCACAAUUCCUAUCACCUCUUAAGAGUAUCGCAAGUAAAGGAGAUGAUCUGGGUUAAGCACCCGUGUGUCCUAAGAGGAGUGAAUGAUGAAAGCAAAUAUAGUGGAAACAAAAGCCACAGGCACGAGGCUUUAUUAUGAAGACUAGCGAGAUUUGCAGAAGCAUCCACAGGUUAGUACUAGAUGGAGACACUCUUCAACCUGCUCAGGAGGACUGGCAGAGGGCACCCAAGGUUGAGGAAAGCCUUGAGGAGUAAGGCUGAACCUGGCACAAUGGCACAGUGAGUGAAGCCUGGGCCAUCAAGCACACAGAGGUCCUCAGUACAGUCUAUGGAGCCCUAAAGACACCAGCGGUGCUACUGUCGUCCCCCGGAAGAGACAUUCUUCUGGAGACACCUGCCAUUCCUUGGCUUCUACCUGCUUUUCCUUUUGUUCUACACAGCGGUAGUCUUCCUUAGCUGAGGUAAACUGAGUCACAGUCCUGCUGCAGUUCUCUGAUUACCCUCAACAUACCCACUCAGAGGGAUGACCCUGGCCAGAGCAACUUAUGCCUGACCAUGAGUUCCCCUGAACCAGAAGAUCACCCCACUAAACCAAGACUGAGUCACAGCUUGUAGAACUCUCUGUAGAGAUUCCACGGAGGAAUUGGCAACGUGAACAUAAAACAUAAGAUUCAAAAAAUUCACGACAAUGUAAGAAAUGCCACCCAAAUGACAUAAUUUAGACGUACAAUAUGUAUGGGGCACACCACCAAACAAGGCAGUCAAAGAGGGCUAUGAUGGGACAAAGUAGGACUAAUGGGACAAAAUUCAAGUCAUUUUAGGGAAGUGGCUGAAAACCAAUACCCCAUUCCUAACGCCUCCCUUAGUAUGAAGCAUUGACAGUGUGCCCAACGCCUGCCUGGCUGCUGAACUGACUUGGAUACCCAGAGGCAGAGAGUGCCUCCACAUGCAAAUGUUGCCAGCCCAGGGAAUGGAGUCCACUCUAGCCUGCCUCUUAGAGAUCUGGUGCCCUGCAUACCUUCAACGGUGAGAGGCCACUUCCCUGGGGACUACUGAGGGAGAUUUUCCAUGCACUUGAGGAAAGUGUUCCAAUAUUCUAUGUCAAGUUCCAUCAGGGCUGGCUAGGCACCAUCCGGAAUGCAGGGUAUGUGUAUGAAGCCUCCUGCCUUCACUGACCAGACAGUUCCCUCAUCAUUCGCUCACAGCCACAGGGCAAGUGCAAGCGGUUCUUAUGACUCAGAAGCUUGACCUAUAAGCAUCCUUUCGGACCUAAGAUUCCAUUUUGCAUGGUUCAAGGACAGCUGAUGAGAUCCAUCACUGCUCCCUCCUCUGCCAUGGGGCAUCAUCAGAGCCACUGCCCAAUUCCCUAAGAUAUGCUGUGCAUGACCUCA